ACGAACGCUGGCGGCGUGCUUAACACAUGCAAGUCGCACGGGAUUUAGUAGACAGAAGCCUCGGCUAAAGAUUACUAAUGAGAGUGGCGAACGGGUGAGUAACGCGUGAGCAACCUGCCUAUGACAGUGGGAUAGCCUCGGGAAACCGGGAUUAAUACCGCAUAAAAUCGUAGAAACACAUGUUUUAACGGUCAAAGAUUUAUCGGUCAUAGAUGGGCUCGCGUCUGAUUAGCUAGUUGGUGAGAUAACAGCCCACCAAGGCGACGAUCAGUAGCCGGUCUGAGAGGAUGAACGGCCACAUUGGAACUGAGACACGGUCCAAACUCCUACGGGAAGCAGCAGUGGGGAAUAUUGCACAAUGGGGGAAACCCUGAUGCAGCGACGCCGCGUGAACGAAGAAGGUAUUCGUAUCGUAAAGUUCUGUCCUAUGGGAAGAUAAUGACAGUACCAUAGAAGAAAGCUCCGGCUAAAUACGUG
rnacentral:rRNA from 1 species